UACGUAGGGGGCAAGCGUUGUCCGGAAUCAUUGGGCGUAAAGAGCGCGUAGGCGGCCCUGUAAGUCCGCUGUGAAAGUCGGGGGCUCAACCCUCGAAUGCCGGUGGAUACUGUCGGGCUAGAGUGCGGAAGAGGCGAGUGGAAUUCCUGGUGUAGCGGUGAAAUGCGCAGAUAUCAGGAGGAACACCAAUUGCGAAGGCAGCUCGCUGGGACGUUACUGACGCUGAGACGCGAAAGCGUGGGGAGCAAACAGG
rnacentral:rRNA from 1 species